GGUUAAGCGACUAAGCGUACACGGUGGAUGCCCUGGCAGUCAGAGGCGAUGAAGGACGUGCUAAUCUGCGAUAAGCGUCGGUAAGGUGAUAUGAACCGUUAUAACCGGCGAUUUCCGAAUGGGGAAACCCAGUGUGAUUCGUCACACUAUCAUUAACUGAAUCCAUAGGUUAAUGAGGCGAACCGGGGGAACUGAAACAUCUAAGUACCCCGAGGAAAAGAAAUCAACCGAGAUUCCCCCAGUAGCGGCGAGCGAACGGGGAGCAGCCCAGAGCCUGAAUCAGUGUGUGUGUUAGUGGAAGCGUCUGGAAAGGCGCGCGAUACAGGGUGACAGCCCCGUACACAAAAAUGCACAUACUGUGAGCUCGAUGAGUAGGGCGGGACACGUGGUAUCCUGUCUGAAUAUGGGGGGACCAUCCUCCAAGGCUAAAUACUCCUGACUGACCGAUAGUGAACCAGUACCGUGAGGGAAAGGCGAAAAGAACCCCGGCGAGGGGAGUGAAAAAGAACCUGAAACCGUGUACGUACAAGCAGUGGGAGCACGCUUCGGCGUGUGACUGCGUACCUUUUGUAUAAUGGGUCAGCGACUUAUAUUCUGUAGCAAGGUUAACCGAAUAGGGGAGCCGAAGGGAAACCGAGUCUUAACUGGGCGUUAAGUUGCAGGGUAUAGACCCGAAACCCGGUGAUCUAGCCAUGGGCAGGUUGAAGGUUGGGUAACACUAACUGGAGGACCGAACCGACUAAUGUUGAAAAAUUAGCGGAUGACUUGUGGCUGGGGGUGAAAGGCCAAUCAAACCGGGAGAUAGCUGGUUCUCCCCGAAAGCUAUUUAGGUAGCGCCUCGUGAAUUCAUCUCCGGGGGUAGAGCACUGUUUCGGCAAGGGGGUCAUCCCGACUUACCAACCCGAUGCAAACUGCGAAUACCGGAGAAUGUUAUCACGGGAGACACACGGCGGGUGCUAACGUCCGUCGUGAAGAGGGAAACAACCCAGACCGCCAGCUAAGGUCCCAAAGUCAUGGUUAAGUGGGAAACGAUGUGGGAAGGCCCAGACAGCCAGGAUGUUGGCUUAGAAGCAGCCAUCAUUUAAAGAAAGCGUAAUAGCUCACUGGUCGAGUCGGCCUGCGCGGAAGAUGUAACGGGGCUAAACCAUGCACCGAAGCUGCGGCAGCGACACUAUGUGUUGUUGGGUAGGGGAGCGUUCUGUAAGCCUGUGAAGGUGUGCUGUGAGGCAUGCUGGAGGUAUCAGAAGUGCGAAUGCUGACAUAAGUAACGAUAAAGCGGGUGAAAAGCCCGCUCGCCGGAAGACCAAGGGUUCCUGUCCAACGUUAAUCGGGGCAGGGUGAGUCGACCCCUAAGGCGAGGCCGAAAGGCGUAGUCGAUGGGAAACAGGUUAAUAUUCCUGUACUUGGUGUUACUGCGAAGGGGGGACGGAGAAGGCUAUGUUGGCCGGGCGACGGUUGUCCCGGUUUAAGCGUGUAGGCUGGUUUUCCAGGCAAAUCCGGAAAAUCAAGGCUGAGGCGUGAUGACGAGGCACUACGGUGCUGAAGCAACAAAUGCCCUGCUUCCAGGAAAAGCCUCUAAGCAUCAGGUAACAUCAAAUCGUACCCCAAACCGACACAGGUGGUCAGGUAGAGAAUACCAAGGCGCUUGAGAGAACUCGGGUGAAGGAACUAGGCAAAAUGGUGCCGUAACUUCGGGAGAAGGCACGCUGAUAUGUAGGUGAAGCGACUUGCUCGUGGAGCUGAAAUCAGUCGAAGAUACCAGCUGGCUGCAACUGUUUAUUAAAAACACAGCACUGUGCAAACACGAAAGUGGACGUAUACGGUGUGACGCCUGCCCGGUGCCGGAAGGUUAAUUGAUGGGGUUAGCGGUAACGCGAAGCUCUUGAUCGAAGCCCCGGUAAACGGCGGCCGUAACUAUAACGGUCCUAAGGUAGCGAAAUUCCUUGUCGGGUAAGUUCCGACCUGCACGAAUGGCGUAAUGAUGGCCAGGCUGUCUCCACCCGAGACUCAGUGAAAUUGAACUCGCUGUGAAGAUGCAGUGUACCCGCGGCAAGACGGAAAGACCCCGUGAACCUUUACUAUAGCUUGACACUGAACAUUGAGCCUUGAUGUGUAGGAUAGGUGGGAGGCUUUGAAGUGUGGACGCCAGUCUGCAUGGAGCCGACCUUGAAAUACCACCCUUUAAUGUUUGAUGUUCUAACGUUGACCCGUGAUCCGGGUUGCGGACAGUGUCUGGUGGGUAGUUUGACUGGGGCGGUCUCCUCCUAAAGAGUAACGGAGGAGCACGAAGGUUGGCUAAUCCUGGUCGGACAUCAGGAGGUUAGUGCAAUGGCAUAAGCCAGCUUGACUGCGAGCGUGACGGCGCGAGCAGGUGCGAAAGCAGGUCAUAGUGAUCCGGUGGUUCUGAAUGGAAGGGCCAUCGCUCAACGGAUAAAAGGUACUCCGGGGAUAACAGGCUGAUACCGCCCAAGAGUUCAUAUCGACGGCGGUGUUUGGCACCUCGAUGUCGGCUCAUCACAUCCUGGGGCUGAAGUAGGUCCCAAGGGUAUGGCUGUUCGCCAUUUAAAGUGGUACGCGAGCUGGGUUUAGAACGUCGUGAGACAGUUCGGUCCCUAUCUGCCGUGGGCGCUGGAGAACUGAGGGGGGCUGCUCCUAGUACGAGAGGACCGGAGUGGACGCAUCACUGGUGUUCGGGUUGUCAUGCCAAUGGCACUGCCCGGUAGCUAAAUGCGGAAGAGAUAAGUGCUGAAAGCAUCUAAGCACGAAACUUGCCCCGAGAUGAGUUCUCCCUGACUCCCUGAGAGUCCUGAAGGAACGUUGAAGACGACGACGUUGAUAGGCCGGGUGUGUAAGCGCAGCGAUGCGUUGAGCUAACCGGUACUAAUGAACCGUGAGGCUUAACCUU
rnacentral:rRNA from 1 species